AUGGGCAUCGUGUUCACGCGGCUCUUCUCGUCGGUAUUCGGAAACCGCGAGGCCCGCAUCCUCGUCCUCGGCCUCGACAAUGCCGGCAAGACUACUAUCCUCUAUCGGCUGCAGAUGGGGGAGGUCGUUUCCACGAUCCCAACGAUCGGGUUCAACGUGGAGACGGUGCAGUACAAUAACAUCAAGUUCCAAGUUUGGGAUCUCGGUGGUCAAACAAGCAUCAGGUACAUUCUUUACAGCGAGUAUCCAUAUCCAAAAUCGGUCAUUAUGAUGCCAUACUGGAGAUGCUACUUUCCAAACACUCAGGCUAUCAUAUAUGUUGUUGAUUCAAGUGAUACUGAUAGGCUGGUAACUGCAAAAGAAGAAUUUCAUUCCAUCCUUGAGGAGGAUGAGCUGAAAGGUGCGGUUGUCCUUGUAUAUGCAAAUAAACAGGACCUUCCAGGUGCACUUAAUGAUGCUGCCAUAACUGAAUCAUUAGAACUUCACAAGAUUAAGAGCCGCCAAUGGGCAAUUUUCAAAACAUCUGCUAUAAAAGGGGAGGGGCUUUUUGAAGGCUUGAACUGGCUCAGUAAUGCACUCAAGUCCGGAGGCAGCUAA
rnacentral:rRNA from 1 species